GGGGCACUGGUAGCCUAACUCUUGGGAUGAGCAUCUCGACCCCUCUAUGUAGCAUACGGACAAUCUCUAAGUCGGUGGUCCAACUUGCCACAACCAAAGCAACCCCUCUAAUUAACAAAACACUCGGCAAAAUAAUCUCUACCAUAUUUGGAACAUGAAGGAAGAAGAGGUCUGUUACUUACACUUUCCUGAGACCUGGAUAGGAUAGGCCUGUUCCCCUACUCCUG
rnacentral:lncRNA from 1 species